rnacentral:rRNA from 1 species
UACGGACGGGGCAAGCGUUGUUCGGAAUCAUUGGGCGUAAAGGGCGUGUAGGUGGUCCUGUAUGUCUACCGUGAAAGCGUACGGCUCAACCGUAUUUAGUCGGUAGAAACUGCAGGACUUGAGGCUGGGAGGGGCUGGUGGAAUUCCCUGUGUAGCGGUGAAAUGCGUAGAGAUGGGGGAGAACACUCGUGGCGAAGGCGGCCAGCUAGACCAGUUCUGACACUGAGGCGCGACAGCGUGGGGAGCAAACAGG